AUUUUGCCCUAAUUUUUAAUAACUGUUGGGAGUGGUGAAAUUUUUAAUAACUCAUCCGUUUAAAUUAUAUUAAGACUUAAAGUUCUGCAUAAUUAAGGGCGUCGCCACUUGAGUGACAGGUGGGUUGCCGCUGCUGACACUGCUGUCGAGCUAGGUGGGCGUGGCUUCAGCAACUAGCUCCCGCCUUUUUGCCCAUUUUUGAUUGUUUCUGGAGUGAUGCACAGUGACACGCUGCCAAGAAGGCAACGACUCACUCUGCACACUUUGAGCUUCACAAAAGCUCUUCAGAAGUCUACAGGUGACAUCACAGACACAUUACGUCGGACGGACAUGUUUUUAUGCAGUCUAUGUUCAAAACUAGCCCAAAACAACACCAGAACGUGAUUGUUCCCUCGUAAUACCAUUUCUCCCCUGCCCCGAGGAGGUCUUUGCACAUCUAUGAAGAAACACGCUAAUCCCAUGAAGUGUUAAUCUCUUCCUUAUUUCGAUAGGUCCAUUCAUGGAACAGAAGAGGUUGAAAGAAGGAAUCAUUAAGUUAAAUAAUAAUAUAAAAUGACUCAACAAAGAGACUGAAUCUGAUUAAUAAAAUCAAUGUUGAUAGGCACAUCCACUGGAAGAGGCCGUUCAAGCUGGCAGGUGGGCCUCUUUCUCCUCCCAGGACCAGAUCUUCAAAAACUUCCAUCUUUGUCUGACCGGCAUGCCCUGACAAAUAAUGGAUUAGGAGUUCCAGCGAAGGAGAUCGCUGAUUGUCAACUGUCUACAAUUGAUUUAAACUGGAGCCUAUCAGAUUUGAAUACUUUCGUUUGUCAGAGCUUCCCUAUGAUAAGUUUGAACCUGGUGGGUUUUGAGUUGGCAAAAGUAGACAAGGGGAAAGAAAUCAAGAAGGUACAUGCAAGCUCUGUGAGAGAUCUGAAGAAGAUUGUGGGAAAAAGCAGACUUUAUGUUGUCCCUCGUGCUGAAGUGGGCCAGCCAAUCAACUUGCAUCUGAGUCAACCAAUCAUAGGACCUAACCCUGAAACAACAGAGAUAAUUUAAAAUGUAGUUGUUUUCAGU